CGAUAAGAACUCUCAAAAAAAAUUACGCUGUUAUCCCUAAGGUAAUUUAAUCUUUUAAUCUAAAUAAUAGGAUCAAUAACUUACAUAUAAAUAUUCAAAUAAAAAAAAAGUUAAUUAAAUUUUUUAAUCACCCCAACUAAAUUAACAUUUUUCAAUAAAAACUUAGAUUCAAAUUCUUUAUAAAUAAAUAUUAAUAAAACUCUAUAGGGUCUUCUCGUCUUUAACUUUUAUUUAAGCUUUUUAACUUAAAAAUAAAAUUCUAAUAAAUUUAAAUAGAGACAGUUAUUUUUUCAUCUAACCUUUCAUUCCAGCUUUCAAUUAAAAAACUAAUGAUUAUGCUACCUUUGCACGGUCAAAUUACCGCGGCCAUUUAAAUACUCAUUGGGCAGGCCAGACCUUAAAUUAUAAUCAAAAA
rnacentral:rRNA from 1 species